CUGUUUCCUGGCAACCAGCUCACUACUCCCUGAAGGGCACUUUCAAGAAAGUUCAAUCAAUGGAAGGGUCAAAUGUUUUCUUUUUCAAACGUCCAUUUUGCAUGUAAUGGCUGCUCCAUGCAGAGUUUACGGGUGUUCUCUUGUUCAUGAGAUCUAGCGUCCUUCUGCACAAAUGCAUGUGCUAUGGGUAAGAAAUUACUUCAACUGAGUUUAUUGGCAUUUCUUAGAGCAUAUGAGUUCAAAGAAAAUUAUUACAGGGAAAAUGAACUCCCACCCCAGAAACGCAUUUUCUGAAAGGGCUUUAAGAUGGUGAGAGAAACGGCCAGUCAGGAGACAGUUGUGUACACCGAACUCUAGCUGAGGAAACAAAAGACGCCCAUUGGUGUAGGAGUCUGCCUGAAACAAGACGCUAAACCGCCUGAGCAGCUAGGCCGCUAAUGAAUGCCUCUCCUCCCCAAGAAGCAAACGCUCCUGCUGCUCCCAGCUGUUUGGUAGGCUCCGACCUGCUACUGUCAGGUAACAAGAAGCCACAUCCUGAUUCGCAUCCUCCUCCCGAAACCCUGCAACUUCCUGAAUUCCCGUGCUCCUCAGGCGGGACUUCCUGUUGGAGAUGGAGCUAAAGAAGCUGAAAAACUCCUCCAUCCUUCCUAAGAUAGAUCUCAUUUAUGCAUGAGGUCAGACAAAUUUCCCUAAUGCUGCCCUUGAGGGGAUAUCCGGGGAUAACAAAGGCUGUCUUCCAUGCCUCUCCCCGAAUCGAGAUGUAAACCAGAAAACAUAAAAUAAAAAGCCAAAAAUCAUUCCAAAAAGUCGACAUUAAAUUGACAAAAAGACCCCGU
rnacentral:lncRNA from 1 species